CCUACGGAGGCAGCAGCAAGGGAUAUUGCGCAAUGGACGAAAGUCUGACGCAGCGACGCCGCGUGAGGGAUGAAGGCCUUCGGGUCGUAAACCUCUUUUAUUGGUGAGGAGUAAGGACGGUAGCCAGUGAAUAAGCCUCGGCUAACUACGUGCCAGCAGCCGCGGUAAU
rnacentral:rRNA from 1 species